rnacentral:misc_RNA from 1 species
UUCAUGUAAGAUGUAUAGAUACUUGGUUGGAGUCACAUUCCUCUUGCCCAACUUGUAGACAAUCAUUGCUUGAACAACCAGGAGCAAGUUCUGAUGGUGCGGAAGCUGGUACUGAUGCUGCUGGGAUCAGGAUUCAUGGAAAUGGAGCAGCAGUUCAAAGUGAUGUGACUAUGGCUCCAGACGAGGUAGGUUGAUUCUGCUUUGAACAGGGUUUUAACACCAAACUACAUCAAAAAAGGAGAGGG